UUCAGUUGUUGGCCCGAGCAUGUCUAGGCUGCUGUCGGUUUCUUGUGCUGAAUACCUACUGGGAAGGCAUUCUUCUGUUGCGAAUGAUAAGAUUCCGCCUAGUGUCGCGCCCCUCGUGGAUGCGGUGCUGGGUGGACCUCAGAGCACGCUUCGUGUCCCUUGUCCCUUGCACAUCUUUGUGCUCAGGCCUUUGGCCCAUGUUGUCGUGUGUGAUCUCUCGGAUAUGGAACAUUGUGCGGGCACGAGGCCUCGGCCUCUAUUUUGUCCAAACAACAAGCGUUCUACGCUUCGUGCGAACGACUGCCGCAUGUGUUUUGAGCGGGCCCUUGCGGCCUUGCUCAUGCGCCUGCGGUGUCCGU
rnacentral:misc_RNA from 1 species